rnacentral:rRNA from 1 species
UAGAUAAUAGAAUACAACUGGAAAGUUGAACCAAAGAGGGUGAUAGUCCCGUAUAUGAAAUUUAAUUGCUACCUAACAGUAUCCUGAGUAGCACGGGGCACGUGAAACCUUGUGUGAAUCUGGCGGGACCAUCCGUUAAGGCUAAAUACUCCUGAGAGACCGAUAGUGAACUAGUACCGUGAGGGAAAGGUGAAAAGAACCCUGAAUAAGGGAGUGAAAUAGAACCUGAAACCAGCUGUCUACAAGCGGUCGAAGCCUUCGGGCGACGGCGUGCCUUUUGCAUAAUGAGCCUACGAGU